GGAGACAUAUUGUGACGCCCCGCUGGGGCUAGUGGGUCGGGAAUAUUUUUGUAUGUAUUUCCGAAAUGAACACAAUGGGAGGAUUAGUGAUCCUGGGUCAUGAUGCAAGCAGGACUUCAGCCUUUUCUACUUUAGGAACAGAGCACAGGAGACCAUGUACUUCUCCUCUGAAGCCGCUCAAAAACAGCUCGGAUGGAAAGACAAAUCCAUCAAGAUCGCUCCCUGAUCACUGACCCGCAGAUUCUCUAGCCGCGGUAGUAGAGCAGAAGCCGUUGCUUCUGCGAGGCCUGAGGUCAGCUUGGGAAGCCCCGAGAGGCAGCUGUGGGCUGAGAGUAGAGCCUAUAGACCCCGUAGCCUGCUGGAUCUUCCUUUAAUACAUCAUUUUAAAGUCGGUUUUCUUGUCCCUCCCACAUCUACUCGGAGAGCUAUCUGGGGCAAAGCAAGGGUCAGGCACAGAGGAAACCACAGCUGCAAGACUCCCAUAGACCGGCAACUACAGUGCUAUGGGGGCCAGUGGAAAAGGAAGGUCUAGUGGGUCUUUUUACUAGGGGCAUUUCUUUCUUUAUUCCCUUUCUAAACCAUGGCCCCGUGUAGCCCAGGCUGGCCAUGGACUUGCUCUUUGCCUAAAGGUGAUCCUGAACACCUGAUCCUCCUGUCUCUGCUCCCAAAGUGCUGAGUCACAGGCAUUGAGCCAGCAUUCCCAGCUCAAGUCCAUUUUCAAAGGCCAAAAGAAGAUUCCACUUGGGGACAAGGCGUCUCAACUUCUUCUGAUGUCAA
rnacentral:lncRNA from 1 species